UACAGAGAGGGCAAGCGUUAUUCGGAAUUAUUGGGCGUAAAGGGCGCGUAGGCGGCUUGGCAAGUGGAUGGUGAAAUCCCUCGGCUUAACCGAGGAACUGCCAUCCAGACUGCUUUGCUUGAGGCCGGGAGAGGUGAGUGGAAUUCCCAGUGUAGCGGUGAAAUGCGUAGAUAUUGGGAGGAACACCAGUGGCGAAGGCGGCUCACUGGACCGGUUCUGACGCUGAUGCGCGAAAGCGUGGGGAGCAAACGGG
rnacentral:rRNA from 1 species